rnacentral:rRNA from 1 species
AUUGAACGCUGGCGGUAUGCUUAAGACAUGCAAGUCGAACGGUAACAGGUUAAGCUGACGAGUGGCGGACGAGUGAGUAACGCGUGGGAAUCUACCUUGUAGUGGGGGAUAAGCCAGGGAAACGUUGGACUAAUACCGCAUACGCCCUAAGGGGAAAGGCGCAAGUCGCUAUAAGAUGAGCCCGCGUCUGAUUAGGUAGUUGGUGGGGUAAAGGCCUACCAAGCCGACGAUCAGUAGCUGGUCUGAGAGGAUGAUCAGCCACGUCGGGACUGAGACACGGCCCGGACUCCUACGGGAGGCAGCAGUCGGGAAUAUUGGACAAUGGGGGAAACCCGUGAUCCAGCAAUACCGCGUGUGUGAAGAAGGCCUGCGGGUUGUAAAGCACUUUCAGUUGGGAAGAUAAUGACGUUACCAACAGAAGAAGCACCGGCUAAC